rnacentral:rRNA from 1 species
CUACGGGAUGCAGCCGAGGAAAUUUUUCAAUGCACGCAAGUGUGAACGAGUGAGCCAGAGUGUUACCUUCAAGGUAACUUUUCUUUGCUGUAAAAAGGCAGAGGAAUAAGGACUGGGCAAGACCGGUGCCAGCCGCCGCGGUAAUCCCGGCGGUCCAAGUCGCAUCCACAUUUAUUAGGUCUAAAACAUCCGUAGCUUGUUCUAAAAGUCUCUUGUGAAAUCAGACAUCUCAAGUGUCUGGCGUGCAAGAGAUACUAUAGAACUUAUUGAGACCGGAAGACGUAAAGAGUACGAUCAAGGUAAUGGUAAAAUAUAUUAAUCUUGAUCGGACUAACAGUGGCGAAGGCGCUUUACGAGUACGGACCUGACAGUGAGGGAUGAAGGCUAGGGGCGCAAAAGGGAUUAGAUACCCUGGUAGUC